ensembl:lncRNA
CAGCAGCAAAGUCAUCCUGUUGAAUUUGUGACUCACAGGCUCUCUGUGUCAAUAGACAGAGAGUGAGCCCAGCGUUAUGACUUCAGUGGAGAUGAAGCAGAAGCUGGGAUGAGGCAGGGCUGGCUUUAAAGCAGGGCCCUGAGCUCUGACAAUAAAUAGCGGAGGAAAGUCUGACCACUCACAGGGUAUAGAUUUCUGUCUCCACCUACUUAAGACUUAUGGUCUUGAAGGCAUCUUCAGAGCCAACUGCCACAACAUUUCAGGGGAACCAGACAUUGUGUGAAUUGUUUAAAGCGCAUAAUCUUGAAUAAUCAUCACAACAAUCCUGUGAGAUCUGUUUCCCAGGCAGCAUCUGAGCAUCUGGCAAAUGGUAAGAGCUCUCCCGAUAGCAGCUGGAAACCAGUGAGUGAAACAUUUACCAGGUUAUUGACAUAAUGGCUCUGGAUGUUUGUGUAGGUAUCAGUCGGUCGUAGAUUGCUUUUUAACACUCUGUUUUAAAAUGAAAAUAAAUGUGACAAUAAGCCCUAAAUGGCCCUAAUAGAAUGUCAAGAGUAAUCAAUACUCAAAUGUGAUAAAGUUUAUAGUAUGGGAGGGAACCCAGAGGGUGACCCAUUUUUUUCUGCCUGAACUGAGGCUGGCGCCUUGUAUUAAUAGGAUGGGAAAAGAGCUGAGGAGGCUUUUGAGAGAAACUGGAAGAGGGAGAUGGAGCAGGGAUCAAGGGACACUUUGAGAGUCAGUAGGUGAAAACAUCACUAACUCUAGGUGGAUGAGCUCAUACCAGUCACAGAUCCCUUGCUGGUGAUACCCAGAGCACCAGCAUCCCAGGGUCAUGGGCACUUGUAAAUGAAGUCACAUUCUAAGAGGAGAACACAGACUAGCAAAGGAGGAAUGGGACCAGAGAUAUGCAAAU